CAGAGUCGGACACGACUGAAGUGACUUGGCAGCAGCAGCAACAAUAAACCCUUUAGAGCUCAUUUUAGUUUUUGAAGCUGGAAAAGACUUAGAACUGAGCUUGGCAAAGCCAGGAUAUGAACUGUGCAGGUGGGCUCCUCAGGGUGAGUGAAGAGAUAAGGGAUCCAGUCAGGGACUGG
rnacentral:lncRNA from 1 species